AGCGAACGCUGGCGGCAGGCCUAACACAUGCAAGUCGAACGAACCUUUCGGGGUUAGUGGCGGACGGGUGAGUAACACGUGGGAACGUGCCUUUAGGUUCGGAAUAACUCAGGGAAACUUGUGCUAAUACCGAAUGUGCCCUUCGGGGGAAAGAUUAAUCGCCUUUAGAGCGGCCCGCGUCUGAUUAGCUAGUUGGUUGAGGUAAUGGCUCACCAAGGCGACGAUCAGUAGCUGGUCUGAGAGGAUGAUCAGCCACAUUGGGACUGAGACACGGCCCAAACUCCUACGGGAGGCAGCAGUGGGGAAUCUUGCGCAAUGGGCGAAAGCCUGACGCAGCCAUGCCGCGUGAAUGAUGAAGGUCUUAGGAUUGUAAAAUUCUUUCACCGGGGACGAUAAUUACGGUACCCGGAGAAGAAGCCCCGGCUAACUUCGUG
rnacentral:rRNA from 1 species